CUUCUUGAUUAAUAAGAAGUCGGUCCUGUUCACUGAUAAUUUAAAGAACUGCGGUAUAUUGACCGUGCAAAGGUAGCAUAAUCAUUAGUUUUUUAAUUGAAAGCUGGUAUGAAUGGUUUGACGAAAUUUUCACUGUCUCUGUUAUAUGUAUUGAAUUUUAUUUUUAAGUUAAAAAGCUUAAAUGAUUUUGGGGGACGAGAAGACCCUAUAGAUUUUUAUAUAUUUGUAUUAAAUAAAUUAUUUUGUUUAAUAUUAUUUUUUAAUUUAAAUGUAUUUUAUUGGGGUGAUAUGGAAAAUAUUUAACUUUCUUGGUAGUUAACAAUAAUAAUUGAAUAAUAGAUCCUUUAUUAUGGAUUUUAGAUUAAAAUACCUUAGGGAUAACAGCGUUAUUUUAUUUGAGAGUUCUUAUUGAUAAUAAAGAUUGCGACCUCGAUGUUGGAUUAAGAUUACUUAUUAAUGAAGAAGUUAAUAUAGUUGGUCUGUUC
rnacentral:rRNA from 1 species